GCUCCGCGCGCGCUCUCACGUCUCCUGCCGGCGGCUCCUCCCUCCAGUCAAGUUCUUUGGAGGCGGCUCUGCAGCCUACGUUCUCUGUGCCAUCCUAUGCUUGCUGCUGUGUACCAUCCCUACUUGGAGGAGCCCUUGGGAGGAGGCUGUAUGAAUGAUCACAGACAACAAUCUACAGAAUCCUCUACCUGAACUGAAACUAAGAACGUGACAGUUCUCCUUGCGGUGGUGAGGGUGGCAGGACAGGCACUGUGCUGGGGACGUGCUGCAGUGACCGCCUGCUGGGAUGCACCGGGACAGAGGAACACGACGAGGACAGCUUGCACAGCAGCACGUGGACCAGGGACUGCCUCAAACCAGUGGAGAGCCGCCAGGAACUCAUGACACCCCGGGAGCCGCCACAGCUGGACGCUGAUGGAGACCUGAAUGGGGGCCGAUGCGAAGUCCUGCUCCUUCUCGCCGGCCUGCAGCUGGACCAGCACCUGGUGGAGCUGAGUGGGGAG